GGAAGAUUAGCCCUGAGCUAACAUCUGUGCCCUUCUUCCUCUAUUUUAUAUGUGGUACCCCUGCCACAGCAUGGCUUGAUUAUGGCUUGAUAAGCAACGUGUAGGUCCCCUGGCUGCUGAACCCCCCGGGUGCUGAAGCUGAGCAUGUGAACUUAACCCCUGCAGCACCAGGUUGGCCCCCGUAAUUUAUUUUGAUGCUCAGAUUGUCCUAAUUUGGUGAGGGGGAGUACUUUCAGGCUGGUGUCUAUAUCCUUUUGCCAAGUCCUCAUCAUUCUUUGAACAUUUUUCUUGUUUUUUGGCACAAGAUGUUCCAGGCUUAUCUUAUACUUUCCUUGGAAUCAGGCAUUUUUACAAGGAAUACUGAUUCUUGGUGUGUGUGUGGAAACCCCUCCCCGACACAGACAUCCUUCUCUCUUGCUUGUGGCUCUGCCUCCCCUCCCCAGGCUGCCCCUGCCUGGAAUACCUCUCUCUCCUGCUUGGGCUCUGACAUCCUGUGCCAGGUUGCCCCUCCACAUGGACACCCUCCUGGCGUGUUCAGGCAGAAGACUUUAAAAACCAAAGUCAGGCCAUGUCACUUCUCUGGCUCAAAACCCAAAAAUGGCUCCAUUUCACUCAGAGUAAAAGCCAGAGUCUACAUCAUCUGCUAGAAGCUUCUACACCAUCAGGAUCUGGUCCCCUUUCCCUUUCCCACCUUCUCUGCUGCUACUCCUUCCUUGCUCACUCUGCUCUGUGGACGCAUCAGGCCCUGUCCAGAUAUCUGAACUGCUCUGGCUAAGAAAGUGAGAGGGAUUUGCAUAGGCAGCUUCCCAGUGAAGGGGCGAGCGCUCCAGGAGCAAGUGCGAGCAGCAGGGAUAAGAUAUGAAGAAGAUCCAGAGGGGAUCCAGGAACAUUGAAGAAUGAAGGUGUCUCAUACGCAUGUGUAAGUUGUUUUUUGGACCUUGCAGCAACACAGCUGUGUUGUUUGGGGGUGCACUUAGCGCUCAACUCAGGCAGAUUGAGAAUACAGUGGGAACAACCCAGCGAGGCAAAUGGUGUCAAUGAGAACAUACGCACUCCCAGGAAACCAUGGGGAGGACACUGGCCUUCUCACAGCAUGUGGAAUGAUGGACAAAGCUGCUGAAACCAGCUGUGAAAGGGAAGGUUGAUCCCAGAAUUCUGGAGACUUUAGGGACUCCUAGGUGCAUGCGAUACAUAAGGGUGCAAGAAUCCACCCAAAGUCCAUCUCCCUGAUCUGGUCCAAAUGAAUCUCUAUGAUAUCCUCAAAGAAAGAGAGCUCAUCCUGCAAAGAAUUUCAUCUGAAACUGCCAGAUGUGCUCUGGAAGGAAGAGAAUCUGUACUGAAGUGGAGAAGUCUUCUCAAAUUGGGGGGAUAGGCAGUGUGCUGGGCAGAGCAUAGAACCACAGGAUCAAAUAUGAUGCACUUUCAUAUAUAUCUUGCAUUUAAAUAUUAUUGUAUAUUAAAACUGAGACACUAUGGAAUAGACUGCAACAUUGGCUCUAAUUUUUAAAUAAAUCUAAAACGGGAGUUUUUCACGUAAAGUAACCCACUGCAGCUUGUACCCUCAGAAACUGGGAGUUGUUGAUUCCCCUCUGCCACUGGAUUACUACAUUAUAAGAGUUAGAAAAGCACUGAAUGAAGGUAAAAACACUGAAGUGUCCUUUCCCCAUCACUGUUGACCUUGGGCGAAUUACCAGACUCAUCAGUUUUCUCACGUAUAAAGUAAGGAGGUUGACCAGAUGAUUUUUAGUUGGGCUGCUUUUGGCUUUUUGGAAGUCUCCUCAGGUUUCGUUUCUCUCAACAUCUCUAUUUCUGUAGGUCUGUUCUAUUCUCCUGUCUCUACCAUUUGCCUUCCUCUGCAUCCUCUGAGUUCCCAUUUUUACGUAACUUUGACCUUUUACCUGGUCCACUAUGAAUAUUGCUCCACUUUUCUCUACUUUCUGACAGUUCUUAAUUUUUAGUUUCUGCCUCUGCUGUCAAUUGCUUAGUCUGUCAGUUUCCAUUCAGUUCCUUCUACCUGAAAGGAAUCUGAUUGGCCCAGCUCAUCUUUUUGAAACAGUUCAGCUAGUCAUAGAUGGUUGGCCAGACAAUAGAUGAGGUAGCCUCAUCCUGAUGUAAUCAUUAUAGUCAGCGAGUGAUGAUGUUCUAUGUUAGGAAACGUGGCUACUCGUCCUUAGCAGGACUGUAGGGAAGUUAUAUUCCCUUAGAAGUGAAUGUAAUUGGCAGGAAUCAUUAAAAAAGUCAGAUUUAACCCCAAGCUUCUUCUGACUCAUCAAUUGUAUGAUAAGUAAGAUACUGUGUCUCACCCAGGUUCACUACUAUGAUCACUCUGACACUUAUGACUUUAAUUCCUGUAUGUUAAUGGGAUUUAUAAUACUUACCAAUGAAAAGCAAUUCUAGAAAAUGAACAGGACAUUACUAAAGGUUUUUAAGGUUGUUGAAUAUUUUAGCCUUGGUAAAGAUACAAUUGAUUCAAUUCAACAGACAUUUAUUGAAUGCCAGUUCUGGACCAGGCACGUUCUAUACUUACGGGGAUACAGCAGGGAACAAAAUGAAGGAAAUUUCUGCCCACGUAGAGCUCACAUUCUAGAAAAAUCUAAAUAAGUUUUUGUUUGCUUGUUUCCUCUUUUUAAAAAAUAUUUUAAGCAUAGAGAAUUUAUAUGACAAAAACUCACUUAUCCCCUAUCCUGUUAGUUGGAUCUCAACAUUUUGCCACACUUAACUUCAUUUAAAAAAACAUCGUUUUAAGAAAAACACUGUUUACAGAGUCAAAACUCUCCAUGGAGCCUCUAGUCCUAUUCCCUUUUCAUCUCCCCUUCCCAAGGAGCUAUGGACUGAAUUAUAUCCCACCAAUAGUCAUAUGUUGAAACACUGACUCCCAAUGUGACUGUAUUUGGAAAUAGGGCCUAUAAGGAGGUAAUAAGGCUAAAUGAGGUCAUUAGGGUGGGGGCCUGAUCCAAUGGGGCUGAUAUCUUAAAAAAAGAGGAAGAGACAUCAGAGCUCUUUCUCUGCCAUGUGAGGAUGCUGAGGAGGUGACUGUCUGCAAGCCGGGAAGAGGAACUUCACCAGCCAGAACCUCAGCCUUGGACUCCCAGCUCCCAGAGCUGCGAGAAGAAAAAUUUGUGUUGUUUAAGCCACCCAGUUUAUGGCAUUUUGUUAUAGCAACCCAAGCAGACUACGACACGGAGGUGAGCACUGUUCUGAAUUUGGUGUUUAUCAACCCAAAGCAGGAUUUAUACUUUUACUACAUUUAUGUGGAUCCGUGAACAAGAACUAGGUAAGUUUUUCUUUUUUGCAGUUUUAAAAACGUUACAUAGAUAGUAUCAUGGUCUACAGACAUUGCAUAUUCUAAAGAAGUAGUCUAUUUUCAUUAUAGCUGCUUUGAAAAUUUGAUGAAAAUUAUGGCCAAUUUCCCUACAGAAAAAUGUGCAAUAUUUUGCAUAAAAUUUCAGACAGUCCAUAAACUGUGAAGCUCAAUCAUGAACCCAGAUUAAGAACUUUUGCUCUAGUUAUAAUUACUCUUAAGAAUAUUCACCCCACAAUAUUGUAAGGUCCUAAACAUGUAGAAAUAGAGUAAAUCAUGACUACUAUUCUGUGCUCACUAAGACUGGAACAUGGACUCACAUUUUAGAAAGAUAUUUAAUAAUAAAAAUUGGGAAUAAAAAUGACUUUUCUUUUGAGUCACCAGAAAAUUAAAUUAUCUACAUAUUCCAUUUUCCAAGUUUUCUAAAUAAUUGAGGUCCAGCGGCAGAGAAUUACACGGUAGUGAUAUUGACUUGGUAAGGUGUUAAUGAAAAAUAAGCUUCAUUUGACCUGACAGGAAGGGUUUUAGUUAUUAUAAAAGAAUAGAAGUAAAAAAAUAAUGUUCCUAUAAUUUAAUACCUUGAUUACUACAGUUAAAUAUCAAGUCCCAACUUGAUAUUUACAAGUUCCCUCAUAAAAUGCGAGGACACUCAUCUACCUCCCUAGGAAACUGGAAAGCAAAGGAUUUUUUAAGAACCCGGUGUGAAGCUUCUUGGAAAAGAUGCCCAACAUAAGGAUGUAAUCGUUUUCUGGCAUGUUGGUGUGUGCCUCUGUACUGCACUGUGCCUUCCUCUGAUAGUAUCAGAAUACUGUGAAAGACAUUCAAGGCCAAAUGAACAUUUACAGAUGAAUUACCACCUGCCAUGAACACAGAAAGAAAUAUUGAUGUUAAAUAGAGCCAUUUGAGAACUCAAGUAGGGGAAAAGAGUGUGGAAUGAAUUGAGAUCUGAUGAGCCUAGCCAAGUUCCUGACGGGCAAGGUUAAAUUGUCCCGCAGAAAAUAGUGCAGGUCUAGAAGGCAGCAGGAUAUUAUCUGGGAAUCACAUUCUUGUUCCUGUUGAAAUCCAGUGUCGCCUAUCUUUAUCAAGGCCUGCUGGAAGCUAUGAAGGAGACACAUUCAGAGAUUAGCUCUGGAGCAAAUCUUUCCCAGGCAGAAAGGAAAAGGAAAAGGCUUAACUAUCGUAAGAUGAGAAAUAGAAGAUAGCAUGUAUAAAGUCAAAGCGAGACAGAAGUCUGUGGACAGGAACAAUGUGUAGGAAAAAAGAUCAUUUUUAGGCCUCUUGGCCCGUAAAGAGAAAUGAAGUGACAGAGAGAUAGAAGGGGAGAGGCUGAGGAAACUGAGUUGCUCAUACCUACAGGGAGAUGGGCAUUCUGAACAUUAUUCUCCUAGGUGACUGCUGGGUGGACAGAGCAGCACUGAGGACCAGCGUGCACCUUUGAGUCUGUACGUAUAUAUGGAGGGAGAGAGAGAGAGAUUGCUUGAUUGAUCUCUGGAGGACAUAGGAGAAGAGGCAGUAUUAAUAAGAUUUAGGAGGAAGGAGAGAAAGAAUGAUGACUAGGAUAGCCACACCUUGACUGACUCCCCAUAUGGCCUAUCUUCUCCUGAGAGUGUGGUAGGUUGAAAAAUGGACCCUCAAAAGAUAUGCACUUCCUAAUCCUGGGAACCUGUGAAUGCUACCUUAUAUGACCAAAAGCAAAGGUCUUUGUAGGUAUGAUUAAGUGUCUUGAGAUGAGGAAAUUAUCCUGGAUUAUCCUGGAUUUUCUCUAAGUGAAAACAUGUGUAUCCUUAUAAGAGGGAGGCAGAGGGAGAUUUGUUACACAUGCAGAAGAGAAAGAGGCAAUGUGACCACAGAGGCAGAGAUAGGAAUGAUGCGGACAUAAGCCAAGGAAUGCUGGCAGCCACAGAUGCUGGAAGAGGCCAGGAAUGGAUUUUCCCUUACAACCUGGAGUCAGCAGGGCCCUUCUGACCCCCUGAGUUCAACCCAUUGAAACUGAUUUCAGACUUCUGGACUCCAGAACUGUGAGAAAAUAAAUUUCUGUUGUUUAAAGUCUCCCAGUUUGUGUUAGUUUGUUACAGUGGCCAUAGGAAAUUAACGUAGAGACCAAAUAGAAAAUUAGCAGCAGAGAAUCACACAACAGGGAUGCCAAAGAUUAUAUAGAAGAGGACUCUUUGAGUGAGAGUUACAGAGUUCAGAAUCCCAGUGGGCUUUACUCACUUUAGACUUUUUGACAUCUGAGUUAUGUAACCAAAUGAGUUUCCCAAAGUAAGAAGGUAUAUGAGAAAAGAAUUAAGCAUUUAUCCUGCCUUUUCAGUAGAAUUGUAUUCCACAAUAGCCGAGUAAUCCCAUUGACGAGGGAAGGCUCUUAUUUUUUUAAAUUUUUCCUUUUUCUCCCCAAAACCCCCCGGUACAUAGUUGUGCAUUUUUAGUUGUGGGUCGUUCUAGUUGUGGCAUGUGGGAUGCUGCCUCAGCGUGGCCUGAUGAGCGGUGCCAUGUCCGUGCCCAGGAUUCGAACUGGUGAAACCCUGGGCCACCGAAGCUGAGCAUGUGAACUUAAUCACUCGCCAUGGGGCCGGUCCCGGAAAGCUCUUUUUUAAUACAGGGAGAAGGAAUUAUAGAACUAGGAAAUCAUCAAUUUUCAACCACUUAUGAAAAAAUUGAGGCAAGGAUCAGGCAAAGAUCAUCGGUGGUUGCUAAAGCAUUAGAUCAGUGGUUCUCAAGGUCAGCUCCUCACUGGAAUCACUGAGGGGCUUUGAAAACGAUUGAUGCCUAUAGCCAACCACUAGGGAUUCUGAUGGAACUGUUCUGGAGUAGGUUCCGGGCAUCAAGAUAUUCAGAAGCUCCCAGGCGAUUUCUAAUGAGCAGCCUAGGUUACAAAUGACUGCUGCCAAAAUGUCACUCUACAGAUUUAAAAAAAUAAUUAAUUAAUUACUUUUUUUAAUCACACAAGGAGAAAUGUACCUCACAAUGGAGAGAUCUGACUGUCACUACCUCAACCCAGUGAGCAAAUUUAGCGUCACUGUGCUUAGAACUACCAGACAUUAUGUACCUUUCGAUGGGAUGUGAUGCAGUACAUGAUCUUAUCAUGAUGAAUAAAUAGACAAGGUCCUUAGCUAUGUAAGAGUCCACAGAAAAUUAGAAAUUAUAACUGCACCAAGUGCUACAAAGGAGAGGUACACGCUGACAGAAGAGGGUUUAGGGGGGACAGAUCUAGGAUGAGGAGUCAGGACCAUAGCGUCCUGGGUGACACAUGCAAUAGUGAAAUUCACACCAUUCCUCCAUUCGCUGCUCCUAGCUGUCUCUCUCAAACCUCAUUUCUGCCACAUCAUCUGUUUGGUUCAAGCUGCGUUCCGGGGGGAGUGGGAAGCUCAUUUUAUAGACCUCAUGUGAGUGCCCCGCAGCCUCCUCCUCCUCCUUCACUGCUUAUUGCUGAAGUAACAGCCCAAAAGAAGAGCAGCCUGCUCCUGCCUAAGUGCCCACGGCCCCCUGGGUGGCACUGUGACCAGAAUGCCUUCCUUUUCCACUCGGAUACUCAUGAGCCAGCUCUUGAAUCAAUAUUGGGGCAGUUUCCUCCCUUGGGAAGUGUGGCAGGCUGGGAGGACUGCUAGCUUUGGCAUCAAGCAGUUCUGUGUUUGAAUUCUUUCUCUGCCAAUUAGCAGCUCUGUGACCUUAAGCAUUGUAUAACCUUUGAACCUUGAUCUUUCUGAUCUAUAAAAAGGGAAUAAUAAUAAUACCUAUUUACAGUGUACAUAUGAGGACAAAAUAAGAUAAUGAGUGAAAGUGCUUAGGAAGAGAGCUGGUGCAUAGUAGGUGCUCAAAGAAUGGAGUCCUUCUGCUUUAGACUCUAAUCACCUUCUUGCCAAAUUGGUGGAAAGAAUGACUUGCCAAUGUGGUAGCCUGUCUUGUGCUCUCAGUAUGUAGAGAAAUGCUAGUGGUAUGUGAUGAGGAUUUUUAGGCUGCUUAAUUUUAAAAUGGCUUAUGAUGAGGAUUUUUAGGCUGGUUAGUUUUAAAACUACAGAUGAGAUUCAGGCUCCAAGGAGUGGGAUUUGUUUGCCCCUUUGCUGGGAAACAUUUACAUUUCUAAGGGAAACCUCUAUCUGUGAAGAUGCCUCCCUCUCCGUGCCAGGAAGAAGGGGGAAUGGUCUUAUCUCUAGAAGCUCUUAAUGUGGAAGGCAAGAACUUAAGUUGGUUGCUGUCUGGCAAUCUCAUGUAACUGAUUUAGGGUGGUGGCUUCUGACCUUUACUUGAUCCGAUUUGAUUCUUGUCUAAAAGUCAUGGGAUCACCCAACGACCAGACCCCACCUGCACUGAUACCAUUUUAACUUUUUUUCAUGUUCUCUCCUUUGUCUUCGUAAAGAGAUGACUCACAUACCUAUGCCUUAAAUUUAGCCCUAACCCUCAACUCGGGGCAGCAGCAGGAGCUCUGCCUGCCCAUGGGUCCUGUCCCCAUGCCAGCGGGGGCAGCAGCAGGAGCUCUGACUGCCCGUGGGUCCUGUCCCCAUGCCAGCGGGGGCAGCAGCAGCGGCUCUGCCUGCCCAUGGGCUCCGUCCCCAUGCCAACGGGGGCAGCAGAAGUGGCGGCAGCAGAAGCUCUGACUGCCCAUGGGUCCUGUCCCCAUGCUCUUCCACACUAUUCUCUAAAUAAAAGAGCGCUACUGCCAGAUCUUAAGAGUCUAAGAAAUCUUUCUUUUGACUCCUCGGCUCACCGACCCCGCAUCAGUAUGCACUUUGAUUUCAUUCCUUCUCUAUGAGGGCUUCUCCAGAAUCCAAAAUCCAAAUUGCCUGCUUGAGAAGACAGCGUCAGCGUCCAUGCAGAGGAUGCGUCUCGCAAUCUCUACCUCGUCCCUGAGUUCCGGCCCCAUGCCAACCUUGUGAAUCCUCAUUCAGAUUGAAUUUCUCCCUCACCCAUCUAGGGCCACAUUCCACAUCAGCUUCCUUCACUGAACAAUCAUUUACUGAGAACUUGCUAGCAUCAUUCUAAGCACUGGAGAAACAGUGCAGUGGACAGAUCAUCUGCAUUCAGAGAGCUUACACGCAGUGGAGGUGACAGAUAACUCAAAAGCAAGUAAAUACAUAGUAUAAUUGCAGAUACAUCCUGUGAAGAAAAUAUAACACAGCAAUUGGAUAGAGAGCGAGGAAGGGUAGGGAGAGUUUUUUUAGCUAGAGCAGUCAGGAAACUUUUUUGUCCAGGAGACAUUUCGAUUGAACAGACUGAACAGAGAAGGAAGUCCCACAAAGAUUAGGGGAAAGAGCUUUCCAGAUGGAGGCAACAGCUGGUGCAAAGGCCGAGGCUAGACUUAGUUUAGGAGGUUUAAAGGAUUGAAAGACCAGUGUGAAUGGUGAGAGAUGAGGUCAGAGAAGGAGGCGGGGUCAGAUCAUUCAGGGCCGUGGUAAGGAGCUGGAUUUUAUUCCACUGGAAUAGAAAGCCAUUUUGAGGACUUUUAGCCAGAGAGCAAAUGCCCUAAUUUUCACCUUAGAAAGAUCACUUUGUGAUCACUCUGUGUGACAAAUGGUCUGUGUGUGGAUAAUGGCGGAGGCAGGCUGACCUGGGGGAGGUUAUCAUGCAGUCUAGAAGAGAGGAUGGCAGCUUGGAUUAGGGUUACAGCAACAGUGAUGGUAGGGACUGGUAGGAUGUGUGAUAUGCUUUUGAACUGAACAGCAGAACUUAACUAAUUGGAUAUGGCCUAAGGGAAGGAGAAGAAUCAAGAACGACCCCCAGAUUCUUGGUCUAAUUAACUGGUGACUGGUGGUCCCAUUUAAUUAGAUAGGAAAGAGUUUGAGGGAGAGUGGAUCUUGGAAAAGUAAAAGAGAAUUCUGUUUUGGUCAUGUUAACUUGGAAAAGUUUCUUAGACAACUAAUUGUAAAUAUCAAGUAAAUAACACAAGUCUUGAAUAGGGAGAUCCUGGCUUGAGUCAUUGAGAAUCAUUAGCUUAUUAGAUUAGAUAGUAUUAAAGCCGUGGAGAAGAAUAUAAAUGGAGAAGAAAAAAGGUCCAAGGACCAAGACCUGGGGCAUCCCAACAUGUCAUGUGAUGUCAGAAUUGUGGCCUAGAAUCCUCCUGACCUUCUGGGCUCUCUAUCUAAUGCUCCGCCCUAGGCCCAGCUCAAAGCCUGAGGCUUUCCCUGUUUUUCCUAGUUGACCCUGAUUUUGCCUUUUUCAACCCCAGCUGGUCUUACAAUCUAUUUCCCUGAUGUAGUCACACGUGGUCUUGCUUGGUUACUUUAUCUCUUUGGUUUGCAUUAAUCUCCUUGCCCCACCUAAAUUGCUGCCUCUUGGAGGGCAGUGAACACAUUUAAUAAAUCCAUGUAUCUUCAAAAUUUAACAGAGAACUAUCAAGUGCUCAGAAAUCCAUGUUGACUGAUAGGAUAAGGCUGCUUGGGAAAGGCCCAGGAGGUCAUGCUGGUGCUGCUGUGUUUGUGACCCCCAUGUCUCCUGGCACACUCCCUCCAGGUGGUGCCACCAGGCAGGGAUAAACCAUUGUCUCCACUGUGGGAGAUUAAAUAAGCACCAGAUAAUCCCUCGGCGAGGCAGGCAGGCAAAGCAAAGCACAAAGAAGUGAAAUUGCUUUCUUGAUAAAGAAACAAACAGAAACAAAACAACACAACAUAAACAAAACCCAAACUUAAGUGGAAGGGAAACGGCCUUCAGCACCCACUCUGGGAGCCUGACCACAAGAUCUGUUUGUUGAAUGAGGUAAGCCAAUUUGAACACCAGUUAGUCCCUAUUACAUUUCUAGAACACUGUCAUUACUGAAAAUGUUGUGGCUGAGUGUUUUCUCUGUGCUUCUCUUUCCUCCUUGAAUGUGACAAUUGCCUGCAGCUUACAGAGCUGUUAGAUCGUUAGCUGUGGCCAGAAUGCCGACUCCUCAUGGCCUGCUCAAAGCCUGUGCAGCGUCUGACCAGCAGCACAAUGGACAAAGACGCUCACAGAUAAUGGAGAACUAUGAGGGAGGGAGGAAAAUGGAAGGGAAGCUGUGCAUUGAAGCCGGGGAACACAAAAACUAUCACAGCAGAUCAGAAUAAAAAGUCCUGUGGGCUUUUAAUGGAAAACGUGAGAAGCCCCAACAAUCUUACCACUGGCGUGGAUUCUUUUUGUCUUACCACCUGGGAUCUGAAGGUAAGCAUUCUAUUCCUUCUGUCAUUAAGGAUCCUAGGGUUUGAAAGUUUGAGAUGUAGUGAUAUUUAAGGAGUAGAACAUAGUGCCUAGUAGAUAGUAUGUGCUAAAAAACCCC
ensembl:lncRNA